GGUCAUGAGCGCCAGCGCGAAGCCCCGGCUCGCUGGCCGGCAACCCUCCUCCGCGGUGGGGUGCCCCGGGUGACGACCAGGCCGACCGCCGCCCGGCGGACGGCAAGCGCGGGGA
rnacentral:ncRNA from 2 species